CAGGGAAUCUUGCGCAAUGGGCGAAAGCCUGACGCAGCGACACCGCGUGGGGGAAGACGGCCUUCGGGUUGUAAACCCCUUUUCCCGGGGAAGAGUAAGGACGGUACCCGGGGAAUAAGGUUCGGCUAACUACGUGCCAGCAGCCGCGGUAAUACGUAGGAACCGAGCGUUGUCCGGAUUUACUGGGCGUAAAGUGCGCGUAGGCGGUUUGUUAAGUCUCAUGUGAAAUCUCCCGGCUCAACUGGGAGGGGUCAUGGGAAACUGGCAGACUCGAGGGCAGUAGAGGAGAGUGGAAUUCCCGGAGUAGUGGUGAAAUGCGUAGAUACCGGGAGGAACACCAGAGGCGAAGGCGACUCUCUGGGCUGUACCUGACGCUGAGGCGCGAAAGCGUGGGGAGCAAACCGG
rnacentral:rRNA from 1 species